GAUGAACGCUAGCGGCAGGCUUAACACAUGCAAGUCGAGGGGUAUGGUUCUUCGGAACCAGAGACCGGCGCACGGGUGCGUAACGCGUAUGCAAUCUACCUUUUACAGGGGGAUAGCCCAGAGAAAUUUGGAUUAAUACCCCAUGGUAUAAUUGAAUGGCAUCAUUUAAUUAUUAAAGUUCCAACGGUAAAAGAUGGGCA
rnacentral:rRNA from 1 species